rnacentral:rRNA from 1 species
GACGAACGCUGGCGGCGUGCCUAAUACAUGCAAGUUGAGCGCUGAAGGUUGGUACUUGUACCGACUGGAUGAGCAGCGAACGGGUGAGUAACGCGUGGGGAAUCUGCCUUUGAGCGGGGGACAACAUUUGGAAACGAAUGCUAAUACCGCAUAAAAACUUUAAACACAAGUUUUAAGUUUGAAAGAUGCAAUUGCAUCACUCAAAGAUGACCCCGCGUUGUAUUAGCUAGUUGGUGAGGUAAAGGCUCACCAAGGCGAUGAUACAUAGCCGACCUGAGAGGGUGAUCGGCCACAUUGGGACUGAGACACGGCCCAAACUCCUACGGGAGGCAGCAGUAGGGAAUCUUCGGCAAUGGACGAAAGUCUGACCGAGCAACGCCGCGUGAGUGAAGAAGGUUUUCGGAUCGUAAAACUCUGUUGGUAGAGAAGAACGUUGGUGAGAGUGGAAAGCUCAUCAAGUGACGGUAACUACCCAGAAAGGGACGGCUAACUACGUG